AAAACAUACGCAACUGCACAAGAUUGUGAAAAGGACAAACAACAAUAGCGCUUUCGCCGCCACUCCCACCGAAAAAUACAUAAGACUAUCCCGUUCUGUCACCUAGUGACAGUAGCGCCACAAUUACGAUCGUGUAAGUAAAUUCAUUUUUACAAACGGGCCUCCGCGUGCUUACGCAAUGCGACGAAAUUCAAAACCACGUUCUUAAAGCCCCUACAAUACUCGAAACACAAUCUACGCAAUUUGGUCGGGUUCAUUUGUUUACCUAUGAAUGAAUUUUAGUGAACUCGGCAAGUGUCCAAUAAUUUAUGUGAAUAAUACAAAAUUGAAAUGAAAACGCUUAUAUGUUAUCAUUUAAGUUUUUAUUUUUAUGAAGAAUGAUUUGAAUGAUAAAACGCAUUUUUACAAUGUGAAAAACUAAAUAAUCGAUCUAUUGAUUGAUCCAAACCAUAAGCUAUCUAGACUGAAUGUUCUAUAACUUCUACAUUUGGCGAUCUGAAAUUUUGUCUAUGGCAAUUUUACCAACUGUCAAUCUCCUAAGUUCCGUUGUAGGUUGUAUUUUUUCAUGCAAAAAGAUGCUUUAACAAAUAUCAACGCAAAAUUAUAUCACUGAGCUAAAUUUAAAGACGGUACGAUAAAAAGAAAGUCUCCGAGAGCGCCCAUAAUGAUUUCCAUCUAUCAAAGAACCUACAAGAUGAAGAAAAUGGAAUUCAGACCAUCACACGAAUUUGCUUCUACUUAUUUCAUAAAACUAAAUGGUCAGGAAACCUAGUGUCCGUAUUUCUGGUCCAGCGUACUUAUUUACUUAUUUAUUUUACGUGCCUAAGUAUCGACAAUGCGAGUGUGACAGUGUCAGUGAAAUAAAUCCAAAGUUGGGAAUCGUUUCUACAAACAAGGUAAGAUUAUGUUCUUACUUCUUCUUUAGACAAGUUACUGCUAUCAAGACCCUGUUAAAUACUCUUGAAUAUCACCAAUCAGGAAAUAAUUGUUCGCAAUUUGCCCUUACUAUCAUUAAAUUUGUUUUUCUUACUGACUAUAUAUGGCAAUUAAAAUUUUCUUAACGUAGACGCCUAGUUGUAAUUGUAUUUGAAAUGUAAUUGUAUUUCCUUAUUUUUACCGUCUGUUCAGCAAUAUAAACACAUUUCUUUUUGAAAAACCAAGGAUCAAAGUUAAAUUUGUAUAAAAAAAUGACGUGUUGAUUUUCGUUUUACUCUGACUAACCAACAUAAUAUUAAUCUUCCACUACACUAUUUGUAUUACAAUAAGAUUUAAAAGCUAUAUUUGAUGUUUCAGUAAGCUGACAACUACAUUUAAAAGAUUCCCUGUGCCUGAUAUAAACAACUGUUAUCGAAGAGAAAUAAGUAGAAAUUAUGGUGUGGAAAACUCCAUUUGCUGAUUUUGAAGAAUGUUUCCUGACCCUUACAAACAAAACCAACUCCGAUGACUGCCGCUAACCGGUGACAUUGACAAAUUCUCACUGUUGCCCACAAAGGCCCCUCCGAGUGCUUCUACACUACCCUAUGUUACCCGGAGGCUGACUUUCUCCCGGAGUGUCAAGGUGCCUUCACUGUACAUCUACUGGCUGCUUCCAUUUAUGACAGUCUACCAAGACAAUGCUGAUACAUGAAGACUUCUGUUUGCUGGCUUCAUCUCAAGAAUUUUGCUGCAAAAAUGGCUGCUGUCUAC